rnacentral:lncRNA from 1 species
UUUAGGGUUAAGUUGCCAAGAAAAUUGAUGAAUUCAAUAGAGUUUCUUUCUCAUUGCAUUGAUUCAGCGGAAUGGUUUUAUUAAAAUUGAUGCAAUUACUUCUCUGAAACCGGUUGUUUAAUGGGCGCAUGCUUGAAUUUUGUUCAUCUUGUUGCUGCUCCUAUGAUUUACGGCUUUCCAAUCAAACAAUUCAUAACGUCUUGCAUUGUCAACCGGAAAAAAAAAAAACUUGUUUGACGCUGAAUAUGAGAAAUGCUUGUGUAUUGAACAAGAGCCCAGUUCUUGGCAGCAUGAACUUUGAAAUAUUUCUCACAUAGUUGAUCUCUUAUCAGUAGUAAGAUGCUGUUUUGAAAGUAACUGGUUUAAUUUUAGCUUAUGCUUUUGGGUUUGAGAUAAUUUAACAUGAUAUUAGAUCAUUUAGUAUUCAAACAUGGCAAUGUGAUUUCCUUUUCAAUUACUAUUGACAUCACUUGUUUGAUCAACAUAAUCUUGAAAUCUACAAGUGAGAGGAAUAUUAGGAAGACAUAAAGCUUCGUGCGGUAACUAUUUAAUUUUGGAUUUUAGUCUUUGAAAAUUAAGUGUAUAAACAUUCAUUCCACCUCUAAAUUACUUUCUUAUUUACUUUAUACCUAUGAAAAUUUUUGAAGACUAAAGUAAAGAACUAUGGUAGGAAAUUGAGAGGAAAUAAGAUUGAUUUCCAAAAACUAAACAAAAAGCCAAAUUCAAAUGGUUAUUAAAGGGGUCAAAACACUUGAAUUUAACACCAUGAGGCUGUAAGUUGCUUGUACAUUUUUGUAUUUGAC